rnacentral:rRNA from 1 species
AGAGUUUGAUCAUGGCUCAGAAUGAACGUUGGCGGCGUGGAUUAGGCAUGCGAGUCGCGCGAGAAUGUAGCAAUACAGGACAGCGGCGAAAGGGAGAGGACAACACGGGAAUCUGCCUUGGGGACGAGGAUAGCGUCGGGAAACUGACAGUAAUACUCGAUAAUGUUUGCGGACCAAAGGUGUGAUUCCGCCCCAAGAUGAGCCCGUGCCCCAUUAGCUAGUUGGCAGGGUAAUGGCCUACCAAGGCUGUGAUGGGUAGCUGGUGUGAGAGCACGACCAGCCUCACUGGCACUGAGACACUGGCCAGACACCUACGGGUGGCUGCAGUCGAGAAUCUUCGGCAAUGGACGCAAGUCUGACCGAGCGACGCCGCGUGCGGGAUGAAGGCCUUCGGGUUGUAAACCGCUGUCGUAGGGAAUCAAAUGUAUGAGGGUACUCCCUUGUAUUCGAGAGAUCCUAGGAGGAAGGAGAGGCUAAGCUCGUGCCAGCAGCCGCGGUAAGACGAGCUCUCCAAACGUUAUUCGGUAUUACUGGGCUUAAAGAGUUCGUAGGCGGCUCUGUAGGUGAGAUGUGAAAGCCCUCGGCUUAACCGAGGAACUGCGUUUCAAACCACAGGGCUUGAGGGAGAUAGGGGUAAGCGGAACAGAUGGUGGAGCGGUGAAAUGCAUUGAUAUCAUCUGGAACACCGGUGGCGAAGGCGGCUUACUGGGUCUUUUCUGACGCUGAGGAACGAAAGCUAGGGUAGCGAACGGGAUUAGAUACCCCGGUAGUCCUAGCCGUAAACGAUGAGCACUAGUCUGAGGGACUCUCACAGUUUCUCGGACGUAGCGAAAGUGUUAAGUGCUCCGCCUGGGGAGUAUGGUCGCAAGGCUGAAACUCAAAUGAAUUGACGG